AGCUAUUCGAGAUUGCAUAUGAAGUGAUUCUAGGAGAAAAAACUAUUUCAUCCAGAGCUGCUGAAAUCUAGGCGUGUGUUACAUCAACAUCUCCCCUCCCACCCAGCAAUCCAUCAACCAUCUCCAAUUUAUUCUUUACACUUAGGAUUAUGACCAAGUUCACGUACUUAAAAGGGAGAAACCACAGAGACAUCACACUGAAAGUUUCUCUGCUUUGGGCCAGCAGGAAAUUCCAGUUGCUUCAUUCACCGGAGCCAGUUAAGCUGCUGAAAUGAAAUGGAUCACCGGAGAGAUCACUAUAUCAGGACAUAGACUUGACUUUCAGGGUUGGAGGAAGCCGGACAAAGAUGAAUGGGAUUCAGAGCCUGAACUCAAGGUCAACGUCUUCUGAAUCACAAAGAGCUGGUGGGUCAGUCUGGGAGAAGAAAGAAAAUUCUGCGCCAAAUGGGAAAACCCUUAAAGUCUGCAUAGUUUUGCUUGUCGGGUUGUUAUGAGGCUCAAAGGAACGGCUGCUGUGAAAAAACAUGCUUUGCAAUUUAUGAAGCACUGGAUAAACAUCAGGAACGGUAUAAAAGCAUGCUGCUUACUCAAGAAAUACUAGUUGAGUGCCUGUGUGUUGGGCACUGGCUAGAGAUAAGGGUCUCCUAUGGACAGAAGUGCGGGCAAGGAGCUUUGUUCCUCCCCGAUGUCACCCUCCCACAGCCCACUUGCUAGCAGGCAAGAGAGGGGUGGAGGCCGGCAGUAAGGCAUGUACUGAACUGGACCUCUGGUGGAAUGGGUCACCCACGCUGGGCUUGAUUCCACAUAUGGUAUCUGAGACUCACACAGUGUGGUUGGAAGAUAGCACAGUGACCUCCCAGGCACAGCCCUCUGCCAGCCCUCCACUGGCUGCCCUAGGAUGCUGGCCUUCCUCCGAUGGGAGUCGGGCCCAGUCUGCUGUGAGCCAGGAGAAGCCAGCAAGCUCCCUGCGAGGCCUGGAGGAGCCCUUCUCACUCAGCUUGGUGUUCGAUGCCAGUGCCCCCGCCCAUUGUGGGGUGAGGGUGGGACUCUCAGCACAGCCCUGUCCAAAUAAAUCCUCUAAAGCCCUCUUCCAUCUGCAGUCACUUGAGUCUUUUGUAGCCUGUGUGAUUGAGCAUCUAAGCAGUCCUCAGCUAUUUACUUUGAAAUUUCGUAAGUGAUUUUGGUAUCUGUCAUUUCUUGAUGCAUCAGUCACAACUCCCCAUCUAACAUCCCAUUAAAUAAUAUAUAAAACAGAACAAAAACAUUGUGCCAACUUCUUCUAAGAAGAAUUUAAUGUCACUUCCUAAGUUAAGCAGUUGGGCCCUGUCCCAUGACUGUUCAUCUCUGCUCAAUAGUCAUCAAGAGCUGAGAAAGAAGAAAGGAGCCCUGGGGGCCU
rnacentral:lncRNA from 1 species